rnacentral:rRNA from 1 species
UACAGAGGUCCUAAGCGUUGUUCGGAUUCAUUGGGCGUAAAGGGUGCGUAGGUGGCGCUGUAAGUCGGGUGUGAAAUUUCGGAGCUUAACUCCGAAACUGCAUUCGAUACUGCGGUGCUUGAGGACUGGAGAGGAGACUGGAAUUCAUGGUGUAGCAGUGAAAUGCGUAGAGAUCAUGAGGAAGACCAGUGGCGAAGGCGGGUCUCUGGACAGUUCCUGACACUGAGGCACGAAGGCCAGGGGAGCAAACGGG